rnacentral:rRNA from 1 species
AUUGAACGCUGGCGGCAGGCCUAACACAUGCAAGUCGAGCGGAUGAGUGGAGCUUGCUCCAUGAUUCAGCGGCGGACGGGUGAGUAAUGCCUAGGAAUCUGCAUGGUAGUGGGGGACAACGUUUCGAAAGGAACGCUAAUACCGCAUACGUCCUACGGGAGGAAGUGGGGGAUCUUCGGACCUCACGCUAUCAGAUGAGCCUAGGUCGGAUUAGCUAGUUGGUGAGGUAAAGGCUCACCAAGGCGACGAUCCUUAACUGGUCUGAGAGGAUGAUCAGUCACACUGGAAUUGAGACACGGUCCAGACUCCUACGGGAGGCAGCAGUGGAGAAUAUUGGACAAUGGGCGAAAGCCUGAUCCAGCCAUGCCGCGUGUGUGAAGAAGGUCUUCGGAUUGUAAAGCACUUUAAGUUGGGAGGAAGGGCAGUAAACUAAUACCUUGCUGUUUUGACGUUACCGACAGAAUAAGCACCGGCUAACUCUGUGCCAGCAGCCGCGGUAAUAC